rnacentral:rRNA from 1 species
AGCGUACCUACUAGCCUACGACGGGUACGGGUUGUGAGAGCAAGAGCCCGGAGAUGGAUUCUGAGACACGAAUCCAGGCCCUACGGGGUGCAGCAGGCGCGAAAACUUUACAAUGCCGGCAACGGCGAUAAGGGGACCUCGAGUGCCAGGUUACAAAUCUGGCUGUCGUGAUGCCUAAAAAGCAUUGCAUAGCAAGGGCCGGGCAAGACCGGUGCCAGCCGCCGCGGUAACACCGGCGGCUCGAGUGGUAACCGUUAUUAUUGGGUCUGAAGGGUCUGUAGCCGGCCAGAUAAGUCUCUUGAGAAAUCCAGCAGCUCAACUGUUGGGCUUUCAGGAGAUACUGUCUGGCUCGAGGCCGGGAGAGGUGAGAGGUACUUCAGGGGUAGGGGUGAAAUCUUGUAAUCCUUGAAGGACCACCAGUGGCGAAGGCGUCUCACCAGAACGGACCUGACGGCAAGGGACGAAAGCUAGGGGCACGAACCGGAUUAGAUACCCGGGUAGUCCUAGCCGUAAACGAUACUCGCUAGGUGUCGGCCACGGUGCGACCGUUGUCGGUGCCGUAGGGAAGCCGUGAAGCGAGCCACCUGGGAAGUACGGCCGCAAGGCUGAAACUUAAAGGAAUUGGCGGGGGAGCACCACAACGGGUGGAGCUUGCGGUUUAAUUGGAUUCAACGCCGGAAAUCUUACCGGGACCGACAGCAACAUGAAGGCCAGGCUGAAGACUUUGCCGGAUUAGCUGAGAGGUGGUGCAUGGCCGUCGUCAGUUCGUACUGUGAAGCAUCCUGUUAAGUCAGGCAACGAGCGAGACCUACGCCCACAGUUGCCAGCGUACUCUCCGGAGUGACGGGUACACUGUGGGGACCGCCGCUGCUAAAGCGGAGGAAGGAAUGGGCAACGGUAGGUCAGUAUGCCCCGAAUAUCCCGGGCUACACGCGAGCUACAAUGGUUGGUACAAUGGGUAUCUACCCCGAAAGGGGAUGGAAAUCUCCUAAAGCCAAUCUUAGUUCGGAUUGAGGGCUGCAACUCGCCCUCAUGAAGCUGGAAUCCGUAGUAAUCGCGUUUCAACAGAACGCGGUGAAUACGUCCCUGCCCCUUGCACACACCGCCCGUCAAACCACCCGAGUAGGGUCUGAAUGAGAGCGCUUCCUCUGGAGGCGUUCGAAUUUGGGCUUUGCAAGGGGGGUUAAGUCGUAACAAGGUA